AAAUUAAACAAAUCUUAGCACUUAGAGGAAAAAGAAGUCGUAACAAGGUUUCCGUAGGUGAACCUGCGGAAGGAUCAUUCAUAAUUUGUUUGUCUUUCUUUAACGAAUGUUCACUUUGCUGGAGGAAUCCGGCAACAGU
rnacentral:rRNA from 1 species